rnacentral:lncRNA from 1 species
CAGUCCUAAUUUUCAGUGCAAUGGCUAUUAAGAUCGGCUGCAUGAAAGACUCAUUUGUUAAGACACAGAUAUUUUUGUACAAGACCUCUGCCUUGAUUUUGUGUAUUAGCAGCCUUUGCACAUUUGUUUCUGUGAGCUGGAACCAUAUUGUAGAUCUUUAUGGUCAAACCACACUUGAUUUUCCACCCAGCUUUCCUGUUAAGAAAGAUGCUCUUAUAAAGAAACACUAUACUGCUGCAUUCCCAAUAGGUGUCCUAACAGCUACCAUGUCACUCUUCGGUGUGAUUAUGUUCCUUUUUGAGAUGAGCUCUUUGAAACCACAGAGUGAAGUGGAGGUCCAGUGUGUUUCUAGACCAAUCAAUCAAAAGGCAUGAGGCAAGCCAGAAGACUGCUUAAAGAAUUUGUCCGUAUGCACAUAUUACUAAUGCAGUCAUCAAUAUGUUCCAAAUAAAACAUCAACUUGA